rnacentral:rRNA from 1 species
UGCCAGCCGCCGCGGUAACACGGGGGGCGCAAGCGUUAUUCGGAAUUACUGGGCGUAAAGCGCGCGUAGGCGGCUUGGUCAGUCGGAUGUGAAAGCCCCGGGCUUAACCUGGGAAUUGCAUUCGAAACUGCUGAGCUAGAGUAUGGGAGAGGGAAGUGGAAUUCCUGGAGUAGCGGUGAAAUGCGUAGAUAUCAGGAGGAACACCAGUGGCGAAGGCGACUUUCUGGACCGGUUCUGACGCUGAGGAGCGAAAGCUAGGGGAGCGAACAGGAUUAGAUA